AGUCUCAAAACAGUAUGAUAGAUUUUGGCAAAUGAGGCUUCUGUGUUUGUAUGCAAAUCUAAUUACUACAUAAUUAUUCAUUAUGCCAAUUUUCGUCAUCAGUGAAGCCUGUUUGCCAUAUACCAGGUCAUUAAUGAAUUGUCUGAUAAUCAAAUUUAAGUUGAUUUUAACUGUUUGUUCUAAAUUCCUGGGGAUUAGAAGGCUGGGAUGUUUUAGUACUAUUGGGCAGCACUGAAAAUCCACCCACUAAAUAGUGCUUGGUAUGUUUCUUUAGUUACUCCUGACAGUUCAAGCUUGUUCUUAUUAAUUUUGCACUGAGAUAACUGUCUGAACUUUUCAGUGUAUCCUAAUAAUUUUGUGUACAGGUCUUUCCAAAUCACUUUAAACCGGAGUAAAACAGAGCAAUCUGAAUCCUACCUAAGUUUUAAUGCUUAUGUAAAAUUUCUCUGGGCACUGAGAGGGAACCCUGCUUAUUUUAUCCUAUGCAGCAAGCAUUUAUGUGUGAGCUUAGCUUCAGCACAUGAAGGAUUGUACUGGAACUGGUGCACUGAUGCCUAAACCUCAGACUAUGUAGCUAGACUGCCUGAGUCAAACCUCAGUUUCCUCAGGGCAAGGCCCUUAGUCAUUCUUGCUGGGACACUUAAGAAGGAAACAUUUACUAUUGCCCAUUUUUCCUCCAAGUCUGGUUUGCAGCCUGCAGAAAUUGCAGCUCAGAAGUGUUUUGAUAGGAGGCACCAUGUUCUCUGGGCCCUGCCCAGGUUAGGAACAUUGCCACAGCAGAAGCAGAGAUGUCCAAGCUCCACUAUUUACAGGGCUAUCUGGGCUAGCUUUUGGGCAUGAGCUGUUCAACUGGCCAACUUCCAAAAAAGCUCCUCCACAGCCUGUGCCCUCUUUGCCACUCCUAGGGGCUGUGGGAUGCUCUGGAAGUGGUGGAGCGUGGUCAUUCACAGGAGAGAUGAGGGGAAACUGCACCAUCUGCACUGCCACCAGCCCUCAUUCUGAGCCAUUCUGAGACUGUGCCAUUUCAAAUCCAUGGGCUGUUGCUACAGCAGCCUGUCAGACCUUUGAGCCAAAGAUUUCCUUAAGGAAAGGACAAGGUUUUAGUCAAUGCCAAGUAUACCCAAGACUUUCUGUCCCCCUUACAGAGCAUCAACUGUUUUAGCCACUCAGCACACGGUUUGCCCUGCUCCUGCUUGUCCACAGAGACAGAAAUGGUUCUAGUGAUACCCUGCUCACCAGUCCCCUUUGCCAGGGAGGGAGGAAACUCCUCCAAAAGUGGUGCAAGCUGCACCUCUCAGGCAAGUCACCUGCUCAAAAAGGUGUCUUUGGAAUGUGUGACUUCACUGGCUGGAUGGUGACCUGGGGUCUGGUGAUGAAGCAGGGGCUGCAUGAAGAGCUCAGGGUCUGGCAACCAAGAGGAGGCUGAGAGGAAGUGCCUUGGAGGAACUGUGAAACUGGGCAGUGCCAUAUUCUUGUGAAAGUGAGGCAACAUGUCAUACCAGAGUCAGUGAUUUGGAGGGAAAUACUCUGUCUAGCAGUGUGAGUCUGCACAAUUCUAGUGAUCUAUUGAAAUGUGUCAGUAGGUCACCGGGCCACCUGGAAAAGCCCACUGGAGUGCAUUGGGAGAGGUGGGUGCACCUGAGGAAUCAAUUACUUUCAGAGUGCCUUGAAAAAUCACACUGUAAAGUGCAUAGUAGAGAACUCCCCAUUCACAGCAGGAGCCAAUAUACUGAGACAAUUUGUGCCAGCAGUGCUGAGAACAAGGGGGGUCUCCAUAUUCAGUCUCAGAAGUAGAGGCAACUUCUAGAGGCAAAGCAGAAUGAAAGAGUGAUUGACAUGAGUGGCUGUAGGCAGUUAGCACUGACUGCAAUGUCCCUGCUGGAGAGUUCUCUCUUGCCUUCUCACCCCCAGAGCAAGAAAAUAAGACAGUGUUUUUUGUUGACAGCUGCAAGAAAAACAAAAGGCUGGGGGAAAGCUCACUCCCAGCCCUCCUUACCUUCUUCACAAAGGGAGGUCUGGAGCAGGGAGAGCUCAGCAGGGGUGAGGCUGGAGUUUGGGGAGUGUUGGUAGGGCUGGGGGGAGACAACGAGAAGCAAGAACCCACUGUCUCCCUGCCCGGUGCAAACACACACAGACUUAACCCACAGCUGAACUUUUGCCCUUGAGUGAUCAGUGCCAUUAGGACACAGGUCAAAAGGUUGCAGGGUGACAGAAAAUGGAACUUUAUUGAAUGAAAGAGAAAAUGAAAAAAUUCCUUUGUUUGCUUAACUCCGUGUGGUUUGUAUAGCCACUGUGAUCCCAUAAUGGAGUCCAGAGUGAAAAAGUAACUUGAUUUAUCACAUGCAAAGAAAAAAAAAAAAAAAAUAAAAGGAGGAGGGAUUUUACUAAGGGAAUAACUGAAAAAAAACCAGUGAAAGGCUAAAACCCUCAAAUCCCUAAAACAUUAGAAUAAAUGGGACCUUAAUCAAUAAAAGCUCUUUUAUAGGUAUGAGGAAGAGGAAGAUUUUUCAUUCAUUAGGAACAAGCAUAUAUUAAGAGCACGAGUAUAUAUAUCAGUGUACAUGAAGGAUACCAGCCAGGGAUGUUAAAAGAAUAUUCUUCCUGUAUGAGUCAGGAAAAAUGUGUAUAUGAGCAUCUGGCUUAAAAAUAUUUUGUUUUGACAUGUUUGAGUGCCAGACUCAUAGCUCUAUAUGCAUAGUUCACCUGCAUUUAUAUGCAAAUGCAAAACCUAGAUAUUUAAAAUUCUCUUGAGCAAAGGAAACAUCUCUGGAUAAGUAGGCAGAAAAACAGCAGGACUGGUCGGACUCUGUCUAGAAUUGGAAAUUCCAAAUGAACUUAGCUAAAUGUAACCUGAAAUUUUAGCAUGCUUGGCAUGCUCCAAAUGGAUUGGGUUUUUAAUUUCUUGGCGGAAUAGAGUCCAUCAAUUCAGAUAGAGCUGGUUAAAAUCAGAUGCUUUAAAAUGCUGGAUUUUUAAUGAAGUGAUACGUUCUGAUCAGAGUCAAAGAAUUUUAAGGGUUAAUAUGCUAAUUCUGAGUUGUCUCAAAACUGAGAUAGAAAUCAGUGGAGCUAGAGCACAAGAAAUUGAACAAAGUCCAAUGCUAUGCCAGGAAGCAAUAGUCAGGAUAUAUAGAUACUCCAGAAACACUUAAAUUAAAAAAAAAAAAAAAAGUCUUGAAGUGAAUUAAACAUUUCAUGUUCAGUGUUUCAGAGCACAGAGGAGAAGAUCUUGUCCCCUGUGUACAUAAGUAACUGCUGUGGAUGAGAUGAGGGGUACUGCACCCAGUCUGGGCAUAAAUACUGCUUGAGGGGCAUGAGGUAAAAGGCUGCUUGGUAUGAACAGGGUGUCAAAAACAGCCUUCCAGCUGGGACUCUCACUUCUCUGUUACUCUUUCCCCUUCCUUUGCAUUGUCUCCUUCUCUCUCCCUCUCCUUUUCAUCAGUCAGUCCACAACCUGCAGGGCUACAGCAACUACACCUACAUCUCCAGUGUGCUACACAGCCUCUUUUUGAUCCCAGUGAGCAACCAAGCCUCCUGGCCUGACACUUAGCUCUGGAGUGACAUCCUCUGUAGGGUGUGUCUCUAGAGGUCCCCAUUCUAGAAUAUAUUUAUCUCUUACAAAUUCUUUUUUGCAUUGUGUCACAAGCACAGACCUUUUUUUUUCUCAUCCAUAUAGCUAAAACUCCUAUCCAGGGUAGUUUUGGUGUUGCAGCCACGUGUCUAACUUACUGCAGUAUCCUCUGCUUUUGCUCCUGACAACUGCAACGAUGCUUUCAGCAUAUCUGUUUGGACUGCUGCUGUCAAGAUCGUUAUCCCCAUCUGUUGCCCUGAGUCUGUCAUAAGUCUAUCUCUUUGCACUUUCUUCCCUUCUUUACUACAACAAUUGCACCACCUUUCCCUAUUCCCACUUAAAUGACAAUGUAAUCACUACUAAAAGGCUGACAGCUACCUCCAUUAGGAUUGUGUUAUCAAUUUCCAUCCUGUCCUUUCCAAUUUUCAGCUAUGCAUUUUCAAUUUUUCAUCUUUCUUUCCACCUCCAGGAGUGGGAGGAAAUCCCUGCAAAUCUACUUUGUUUCCUGACCCCAAAAAGUGCUGUUGCAGUUUCCUUCAGCUCUCCCAUCAGGCUAUCUAAUUCCAUCUAGUGCAAGCCCUCAGACUCCUGAAAUCUUCCUUUGUUUUGUUCUCAUUGGACACUGACUAAAGCAAUGUGGUCCUCAUUCCUGACUAAGUGUUCCAGUUUGCUUCUGUAAUACAAAAAUUAUUUGUAAUAACUUUCUUGGUCAAAUAAAAAUAAAUAAAGAGUAACUCCAUUGACUCUAAGCAUAGAGAACCCAUGUGUUCAUGGGUAUAAUGAAUAACAAAAAAUAUUUAUCUCAAUUUUAGUUUUCUUGUUCAACUACAGAGACUAAUAAUCACCAUAGACCUCCCCUUACACCCCCCAAGAUUGUAAAAAAUGUGGCUUUAAGAAAAGUAGAAAACCCAAAACAUAUAAUGAAGUUUCACGUGCAAUUUCUUUAAAGAACUUUGAGGCUGUGAACCAAAUGCCUAUGAAAUUCCUUAAAAUGCUACUUAAACAUAAACUUGUUUGUACAUGAAAUCUUGAAGGCACUGUAAGUUUCUACUUUCAUUCCCGCUUUUUUCUUCUCACAAGCAUAGUUAGACAUGUCAUAGCUUACUGGCUUGUAGCUGGUCUCUUUGAAAACAUUUAAAGUUGCUUUUUAGAUUAUGGAAAGAAUAUGAUAGAAGAAUUUAAUAUUUUGUGAAGAAAACUUGGUUGUGGUCUAAAACCUUUUAUGCCAGGAUUCAGUGAAUUUUUACAGCCAAGUUAUGCACUUCCUCUGACAAGUUUUAAUGCUACCAGACAAUUUGGCUACAUGGUAUUGUUAUCAAAAUGCUAAAAGAAAAACUCAACAACUCAUUAUACUGGGGAACUAAUGUCAGUAGACAGUUAUUAUGACUUUUAGUGUUGUUUCUGUUCAGCAGGUAUAUACAUGCUUGAAGAAAAGGAAAAAAGGAUGGUAAUAAAGACCAGAAUUUUUUUUGUGGGUGGGUGAAUGAUUAUUCUUCCACACACUGCCAGAGACAAAAAGUAAUUUGUGAAAGGCAUUGUUUAAAGCAGAGAUAUUUUGGGAGAAAAAGUAUUGUGCAUUGUAUAUGUUAUGUCAAUCUUUAGGGAGGUCAUGUCAGAGUGGUCAGAGAAGUUUUGGGGAAAAAAAAACAACAAAAAGUCCCCCUGCAUUUCAUUAUCUUCAACAACUCACCAGGAAUCUGGUACCUGGAAAGUGUGGGUAUAACAAUUAAGCUUGUCUUUCUCAACCAUUAUAUCUGUUAGGCAUUAUGCAUGGAUCCUUAAAAACAAUGCUGAUUUAUUCUGUACUGUAAUAGGGGGUUUCUGCAGCUAUUACAGAUGAGAGUGUAAAAAAUGUUUAAGAUUUAAGGUGGAAUUCUGAAAGAAACUAACACCUCUGAUUGGUAUGGACAAAGCCUCUGCAGAUGUAUUUUUUAAAGGAGAGAUUUGGAGUACAGUGGCAGUCUAGAUGAUUCAUUUGGGCCAAACAGAUGACAUGUAGACAAGUGAAAUUAAAAGCUAUGAAUCCCACUCACAGAAACUACCUACGUUUGUUUUGGCACUCCUCAUUGCACGUGUAAAGAAUCAUCCUCUGACCACUGCCAGUAGCAUCACAACAUCAGUCACUGUGUUGAAGGCAGAAUGCAUUUUUACAAAAGCAACAAGAUGAUCCCAUUUAAUAUUUAAAAGCUUACCAUAAAAAAAUAUGGCUUACUUGAAAAAAAACCAAAUCCAUGCCUUACACAACAGAGCAGAAAUAGGUUAAUCACUUUUUGGAUAUUUGCAAGUGCCAUGUGCAAUCAGGCCAUAGAAUCUGUGUGAAAACUGCCAGCUUGUUCUGGUGCUGAGAGAGAGGGGCUACUGCUGGGAAAUAACUAAGAUGUCCCCUCAUUUAGCACAGACCACAGAACAGCUGCCGGAUAUGAAUGCCUUUCAGUCACCAUUGAUCAGGAAUCGAUUCGAAUUAGUGACCUAGAAAUAAAAGGCUGCAUAUUAAAGAACAAAUUUCCUAUGCCAUUCUCUCUUCGGUAAUGAGAACAGCAACUGUCUGCCAUGUUUAACAUUCAGCUGUCAAAUACAGAAUAAAUAGAUGACCUCAAAACAUGACAAUAUGAAAAAGAACUCAAAACUUCAGGAUUUUUCCCUUUUAAGUACUUUUUGUGUUUUGUUUUGUUGUGUUUUUUUGGCAGUUUCCUCACUGAAGUUGGCAGUUAGGUGUUUACAAUAUUAGGCAAACGUAGGAAACUAAUAUUUUGUUUUCCACACUUUCUCAUAAAACCUGGCUUUAGAAAUGGUUUUUCAAUCCUAAACUUCUUGUAUUACAUUAAAACCCACAGGGAAGGUGUGCUUUUAAAUGCUAGGCUAAAGCACUCACAAUUUAGAUUCCAGUCCUUGGCUUUGCAAGGACUACCUCCAUGGCCUUGGCAAGCUGCUUGUAUUUUCUCUAUCUCAGAUUCCCAUUUAGAAAUGGAGAAAACGAAUGUUUCCGUGUCCUGGGAAUAUUUUGUAACCUAAGUCACAGGUAACUGAAAGACACUCUGCAAUGCAUAUACAGAUGACCAAUCUGACAAUCUUACUUGGCUCUUUGGAAUAGCUAAUCUUUCCUUUGAAGGCGGCUUUGGAAAUGUAAGGCUGAAAUGGAAGAUUUACGGAUAUAAUUUUCAUGCUUAUUGGUCCUUAGAGAUAAAAACAAACAGUAUUUCCCUCUCCCCAGCCACUGAAGAAAAUGGGUCAAUCGAAAAUUAUCACAGUGACAGGUUUUUCCUUUCAUUAGGAUUACAAAACACUCAGCGUUAGUAAGAAUUGUAGAGAUUUUUCUGACAGAAUUAAUUAUUCUGAAUGAUUAGUUUGUUAUGCUCCUUGCAGGCACCAAGUUUGGAAGAGGAAGUGCUUUGUCUUUCGAUUAAAAAUAUCCAAACAGCUCUGUGGAGUCAUGAUCUGAGAAACCAAAACAAGUCCUUAACCACAGAUAAAUGAAGGUUGGCUGAUCCCAGUUUGUAGAAAGCCAGAGGAAGCCCUCUGCUCUGACCCUGUGCCCUCUGGCAUCACAGCUGGUGCAUGAGCACAAAGACAACUUCAAUGUAGAUGCUGCUGUGGGCACUUUACACAGGCUAGAUUGUAAAUUUGUCCAUUUAUGAGUGUCCUGUGGGGGUUUCCAACUUGGAAGACAAAGCAAGAGCUGAAGUGAACAAAGCAUAUCCAUCAAAGUUCCUCUGAUUGCCACUAUUAAUAAAAUGGAGUCCAUAAACAAAUUUACUGUUUAUUGUUUCUUCAGUGGAAGCAAGAAGCAGGGGAUGCUUCCCUGGGAUUGGAGGAGGUGGGUGUGCUACACAGGGUAAGGGUUCAGGUAAGGUAUGCAUGUGUUGUGAAAAGUAAAUGUGCCUGCUGGAAAUGUUUUCCUUUACACUUCCUACUACUGGGCUGUGGACAGGAAUUUCAUACUACCUGAAAUCCAAAUUGCCUUGGCAGAAGUUUGGAUAGCAUACAUAAAACAGGUAUGUUUGCAUUUCUGGAGCUUUUUUGUAUUGUUUUGUUUGUUCUUUAUAUAAAUUCAGGAAUGGAAGAGUGGUUUUAAACUGUCCUGGUCUGUAUCAGCAUACUCCAAUGAACAUCAAGGUCCACCUCCAGUCUGCAUAUUUUUCAUUUUCAUUGACCUCUUCUAGCAGUAAGGACAGUAUGCUUAUUUUUGAUGCCAAAGGCUAUUAUGAAGCAUUUGAUAUGGUACAAAACUCACAGCAGUUUUAUACAAGUGGCUCAAUUUUGAAGGAAUGAUUGACAGAGAAAGCUACAUUUCUUCCAAAAUGCCAGGCCCAGUGGUUGUUUUCAGUCCUGUGUACAGAGACGGGUUCAGAAAAUGGUCUCACUUCUAAGCUGUAAAAGUUCUUGCCUUUUCCAGGACUCUCCUCUCUGGAUUGCUGCUCAUGGUGAGGAGCUCUGCAAAGUGGGGAACAAAGCUUGGGUGGAGGAGAUAACACAGCAGCCUUCCAGUUGACCUGAAGGAACCAGUUUUGGUCUGACUGUCAUUUGGACAGCCCUUCUGCUGUAGUCUGCCUUGCAUUGCAGGGGCAGAUUCCUGACAGGUGAAGAUGAUAGAUUUAUCACCGUAUUGGAUAUCCCAGAAGGAGUCAGUAGAUUCAUACUGGUGCAUAAAAGGCCACUUGGCUCCCUGGUGCUUCAUCUGUGGAUUGGCUCUUCAGGAGUGGGCAUGGCAAUGAGGCUGCCGAAAGAAAACAGCGGGGAAGAUGACCUUGUCCUCAUCAUGACUAGAAGCCUUCUCUGCCAGACAGGAAUUUCAGCUUUCAAGAGAGGACCAUGCUCUGAAAAAAGAGUAAAUGAUGCCUUUUAUACUGGACAGAUACAAUGGAAAACAUAAACCUCUUAUUGGAGUAAUAAUCAGCAUCUUCAGGAAUCUUUCUGUUGCACUUUUUGGCUGGAAGUAAAUGAAGGUGUUUCCACUUCCAGUGCUUUGCAUGCCAUCUCAAAGAGAUGCUGAGUGAUGCAAUAUACAAAUCUCACUGCUACAGAGACAAUAAAUACUUGAAAGAUAAAUCUGCCACCUAUCAAUACCUUCGAGAAAUGUCAGACUUGGAAGGAAAGCUCCAAAAGGAAAAAAAAUUACCCACAUGCUGACAGAUCGGGCUUUCAUUUCCCAUCGGCUGAUGAGAAAUGAGAUGAAGGUGAUAACUGCUUGAGAGAUGGCUGUCUAUUGAUCCCCUUCCUGAGGAAAGGAAAAUGUAAUGCAUGAUAGUUCCUUACCUUAGUUUGCACUUUUUAGGUACUGGGAGUGUUAAGCAAAGUUUCCACAUGAGCUGAACUGUAGUUCUGGAACCUUGUGGCUCCAUGACAAAUACCUCUGUCUAUACAUUCAAGGAUGGAUUUAGAUCACCUCUUUCAGUCCUGCAAACCUAUCCAUGCCCAUGGUGCCAGCUUCUGUACCACAAUUUCUUGUAUUCACAGUGCAGCUCAACAGCUUCCUGCUUGAGGGACAGCUCAGUAUGACGUUUUCUGAAACCCAUGAAAAAGCUUUGGUGCUACCCUAGACUUUUCUGCAAGGUGUAUUUCUUUGAUAGUAAAUCGAUGUCAAUCUUCUCCACGACGUUCCUCUUGGUUUAUUAUUCAAACCAUUCCAAGAACCUCAGCUGCAUGACUUGGACAUUGUCAAAUGCCCUGUCAAUAAGCCAGGAAGUUUGUUGAGCAUAAAUUAAUUUUUUUUCCAGUCUUAGUUCUGAAAAAAAAAAAUUAAUCUUCUGUUCCCUAGCUCAAAAUCUGCUCAUAAAAUUUCUUCAUGAAAGCUACAUUAUCAUGAUUCAGAAAGAAACUAAUUUUUUUAAAAGAUAUUUCUUAUAAUGCCCUUAAACUAGAAUAGGCCAAACUUAGAAUGAAUUGUUAACUAGACUCUAUUUUACUAAUACGUAUAGUCACAUUGAUUUUAAUGGAACUACACGACUUAGUAAAAUAAGCUAAUUCUCCCUGAGGUAAACCUUUAAAUUAAAAGUUCAUGGAAAUCUUGAUAUGGGGAAACUGUUGAUUGAAUUUGAAAGAUGUAUGUCUGAUUCUGGACUCAUUUUUUUUUCCUCUAAGACUUCAUAUGCUUGUCUACAUAUAUUCUACCCAACAGAGGAGAAAGAGUAACUCAUUAGAAAAAUGAAAUGUCAGUAUACUUUUAUGUUUCUUCUCUUUCCUCUUUAUUUGAAAUAAAUGAUUGUUUUAA